AACGAAAUAUAGAUCCGAACGGGACCCGCCUACACUUAAAUUCCCAGAUAACGUCCCAUUUGGCUCUGAAAUUCAUAAACCCGAACUGAAAACUUCUCUUCACCGUGACGCCAAAUGGAAUCGCACUGAGUCAGAAUUCCUGGAUUGAGAUUUGAGAAGAAGAAAAAAAUGCAGAGCCGGGGAUCCAAUGCCCGGUUCUCAACUAUGGGGAUGCGAUCCCCAAUUUCAUCACUCAUGCUUGCUAUGUUCGCUGCCAUGGCUUCCUUCUAUGUCGCCGGCCGGUUGUGGCAAGAUGCACAAAACAGAGUUUACUUCACGAAAGAGCUGGAUAGAAUAACCGGUCAGGGACACUCUGCAAUAUCCGUUGCAGACACAUUAAAAAUCAUAGAGUGCAGGGAGCAAAGGAAGAAACUAUCUGCCCUAGAAAUGGAACUGACAGCUGCUAGACAGGAAGGAUUCAUCUCCAAACAAUCAUCAGAUAUGUCGAAAACUCCUGAAAAGGGUCCAGUAAUAGUAAUAGGAAUUUUCACAAGUUUUGGGCGCAAAAAUGAUAGAGAUGCUAUAAGGAAGGCAUGGAUGUCAACUGCUUUGAAAAAAAUGGAGGAAAAGAAGGGCAUUGUUGCACGUUUUGUCAUUGGCAGAAGUGCUAAUCGUGGAGACAGCUUGGACAGGAGCAUUGACAGUGAAAACAGUCAAACUAACGAUUUUUUUAUUCUAGAAAAUCAUGUUGAGGCUCCGGAAGAACUCUCCAAGAAAACAAAGCUAUUUUUUGCACAUGCAGCAGACAGCUGGACUGCCGAUUAUUAUGCAAAAGUCAAUGACAAUGUCUUUGUAAACCUUGAUUCCUUGGGAAAUACACUUGCGUCGUAUUUGAGUGACCCUCGUGUAUAUAUUGGGUGCAUGAAAUCAGGCGAAGUUUUCUCUGAACAGGGCCACAAAUGGUAUGAACCAGAUUGGUGGAAAUUUGGAGAUGGAAAAACGUACUUUCGUCAUGCUUCUACAGAGCUGUUUGUAAUAUCCCAAGCAUUGGCUCGAUACAUUUCUAUAAAUAGUAAGCCCCGACUUGAAUUGCAGAUCCCUACUCCGUACUUAUGCACAUGAUGAUGUCAGUGUUGGGUCCUGGUUUAUUGGUGCCGAUGUCAAACAUGUAGAUGACAGAAAGUUUUGCUGUUCGUCUUGGUCAUCAGGAGCCAUUUGUUCAGGAGUGUGAUUUAACUUGACUGAAAGGUUCAAGAGAUAUUCAGAGUGGCAUGCUUGUUGAUUCCCUUGGUUCAUUGUUAGCAUUGUUUCAUCACAGUGGGUUUUUGGUAACGCAUCUCUGUUAGGGGCUCUUCUGAAGUUCAUUCCUUAAUCAGAAAACAUAUGUAGAUCACGGAGCUGCUAGAAUUGUGAGGAUUCUUUUCCUAUGUAAAUAACCCAUAAAUAAUACAUAUGAUAUAUGUGCAUCCAUUCUUUAGGAAGUCGGGGCAUUUAGCCCCAACCCCUAGGCUUGUCAGGGUCAGACACUAAUUUUACCAUAUUAAGAUAUGUUCAUUGCUUAUUCUUUGAGAAGCAAAAGGGGGAUACGGGAUACAUGUGUGAAUUUUAGGAUAAUGUACUUCCUAUAGUGAAGACUGAAUAGUUCAUGUAGAUGGAAUUUCGCCAAAGAAAAUGACCUUUUAUAUGUAUUUCUUUUUUUCAUUUUUAG